CUUUCUAUUUGUUUGUCUGAAAAAAAUUUGCUCUCUGCUCAAACCAUGUGACAUAACGAGGUUUGACUUCAUAUUAUUGCGAGCACUUGAUGAAGUGUUUGCUCCAUUUGAUUUCGCAGAAGAGCCAUUUUGUUUUUUAGAUUUUGCAAAUACAUAUUUGAAAUGAUAGAAAAUAAAAAAAGAAAGAGCCGUUCUCUUGACCUUUACGUAGUUCCAAAUGAUGGUGGAAACUUAGGAAUUGAUGUGAAUGACCUAAAUGUGAGCUUAUGGUAUCCAUGGCUUGGCUUGAGACAAGCAGCUAAUCUUAAUUCAGUGGUUUCAAAACAACCACCUUCUUAACUUGUUCGAAGGAUGUGUUGUCUGCUGACACACUCGCCUGUCUUGUUUUGUUGGCAUGAAUCUUCCUGUUUGAAUGGUCUGGGGGUUGUACAUGUGAAUGAAUAUAUGUGCUGAUAGGCUGCCCGCAAUAGCCUUUAUAGUCUUUUUUUUAAGGAGGUUUUCAUCAUACAUAUGUUUUCAAAGUGGGGGGUGGCCUUUCUUUCAAAUAAGAAUUUGUGGUGCUAGAUGCUUCUUGCUUGUUCUUUGGUAAAUAUUCUGGAUUUUAAUCGCUUAUUGUCACAGUUUGAUAUUUGGCACGUCUUUGAAACAACUAGAUAAUGUAGCCUCUCCUCUAGCAUUCCAUUUAUGCCAACUCUCCUUUCUUUUGUUAUAUUUGUCUUUGUAUAUAUCUAUGUAUUUCUAAUUAUUCGACGAAUGGAAACACUGUACUUUCUCCAGUUAUGGUCUGAGUUUUAUGAUAUAGUGCUUGUUUCGCUCGAAGUAUAAGGUCUCUCGGCCCUUCCUGCUUGCUUUUUCUGUUGUUAAGUACGUUCAGUGUGGAGACUAUAUAGUUAGAUUGAGAAUCAGAGACUUGUUUUCAUUAGAUGUUUCACGAUGAACAGCAAUAGGUAUAAUUUAGAACAUAAAAGUUUGAUGUGGACAAAGAUGUAUCAGUAAUUGGGAGGGAUUCUGUAUUGGAUGUUGGUACUUGACACAGUCAAUUUUCUUGAGGAAAUAACGAGUAUUAUUGUUUGUAAGACCAUCCAUCAGAGAAAUUACAUAAUUUCAUCAGCCAAUGGUUGAAUGUACUUGUCCCUUUUGGAGUGUAGGUUUAUUUGACUAUAUCUAACUGCUAUGAAUGGUUAGCUUCUUGGUCCUCAUUAAGUCACCUGUUAUUUCUUUUAUGUUAUCAAAUGCUUUUGGGGAUAGGUUUUCAUAUACUUGUGUUUGUGGACUUCAAUUGCGAGAUAAAUGUCAUUCUUAAAGGUUUCAAGUGACUUGCGUCUUGCAACAGGCCUUUGGUGCAGAGCUGAACCACCUGAAUCGCUGGCAAACGCCAUGCUAGCAACCAUGUGCAAAUUAAAAGAGAUGGGUUACACACAAGGCAGUCCUGAUUGGCUUUUGCAAAAGAAUGAGUUUUGAAAUUCGGAAAUUUGUUCGGGUGCCAAGAGUUGCAGGUCUUCUGAAACCGAACUAGGCUUUAGACGAUUGAGAUCUUCACUUAACGAUUCAGUUUCUCAAGUUUGGAGGUUAGUUUUUGUCAUCACUGACAAGGUCUUAAGCUUAUCAAUGAAGUCUCUUUUGGGGUAGAGUUUAUAACUUAAGGCCAAAUCGAUAGCUUUUGUAAAUGUUGAUAUAUCUAAUUUUAAUGGCAGAAAUGUUGUUUUACUAUUAAAGAAAGAUCAAUAUAGUUGACAACAGAAGAGACC